rnacentral:rRNA from 1 species
UACGUAGGGGGCAAGCGUUGUCCGGAAUCAUUGGGCGUAAAGCGCGUGUAGGCGGCCCGGUAAGUCCGCUGUGAAAGUCCAGGGCUCAACCCUGGGAUGCCGGUGGAUACUGUCGGGCUCGAGUCCGGAAGAGGAGUGUGGAAUUCCUGGUGUAGCGGUGAAAUGCGCAGAUAUCAGGAGGAACACCAAUGGCGAAGGCAGCACUCUGGGGCGUGACUGACGCUGAGACGCGAAAGCGUGGGGAGCAAACAGG